ACACCGGCGGCCCGAGUGGUGAUCGUGAUUAUUGGGUCUAAAGGGUCCGUAGCCGGUUUGGUCAGUCCUCCGGGAAAUCUGAUAGCUCCACUAUUAGGCUUUCGGGGGAUACUGCCAGACUUGGAACCGGGAGAGGUAAGAGGUACAACAGGGGUAGGAGUGAAAUCUUGUAAUCCCUGUGGGACCACCUGUGGCGAAGGCGUCUUACCAGAACGGGUUCGACGGUGAGGGACGAAAGCUGGGGGCACGAACCGGAUUAGAUACCCGGGUAGUCCCAGCCGUAAACGAUGCUCGCUAGGUGUCAGGCAUGGCGCGACCGUGUCUGGUGCCGCAGGGAAGCCGUGAAGCGAGCCACCUGGGAAGUACGGCCGCAAGGCUGAAACUUAAAGGAAUUGGCGGGG
rnacentral:rRNA from 1 species